rnacentral:lncRNA from 1 species
AUGGUGGUCAAGGGUCUGGGAGCCCAGGUCAUCUUCUCCUCAAUCCUGCCAGUGAGGGGGAUUGAUGAGAGGAGGAGGAGACGGACUUUCCAAGUUAACAACUGGCAGAGACAAGGGGAGAGUUACAGAGACAGGGUAGUCGGCAAAACAAGGCUCAAGUCGGGAUGCCUCCAGUGGGUGCCUGCAGCUGGGGAAGCAUGCAAAGGACAUGGCUGUGGAGGAUCCUCUUGUAUCCCUCCUGGGAAACCUGCAUGCUCAAUCACCUCUCUGAAAUGCCUGUACACCAAUACAUGCAGCAUGGGGAAUAAACAGGAAGAAUUAGAGAUCUGUGCACAGUCGCAGGGCCAUGAUCUCAUUGCCAUUACAGAGACAUGGUGGGAUAGCUCACAUGACUGGAGUGCUGUCAUGGAUGGCUACAUGCUUUUUCGGAAAGACAGGCCAGGAAGGCAAGGUGGUGGAUUUGCUUUUAAUAUGAGAGAGCAACUGGAAUGUAUCGAGCUGUGCCUAGGGGUAGAUGAAGAGCAAGUUGAGAGCUUAUGGGUAAGGAUUAAAGGGCAGGCUAACAUGGGUGACACUACUGUGGGUGUUUACUACAGGCCACCUGAUCAGGUAUUUGAUGAGGCCUUCUACAAACAGGUGGAAGUAGCCUCACAAUCACAGGCCCUGGUUCUCAUAGGGGACUCCAGCCACCCUGAUGUCUGCUGGAAAGACAACACAGCUAGGCACAAACAGUCCUGGAGGUUCCUGCAGAGCAUUGGUGACAACUUCUUGACACAGCUGGUGGAGGAGCCAACAAGGAGAGGUGCGCUGCUGAACCUCGUACUAACAAACAAAGAAGGACUGGUUGGAGAUGUGAAGGUUGGGGGCUGCCUUGGCUGCAGUGACCAUGAGAUGGUGGAGUUCAGGAUCCUGCGAGGAGGCAGCAGGGCACCAAGUAGGAUCGCAACCCUGGACUUCAGGAGAGCAAACUUCGGCCUCUUCAGGGACCUACUUGGAGGAAUCCCAUGGGUUAGGGCCCUAGAAGGAAGGGGCAUUCAGGAGAGCUGGUUAAUAUUCAAACAUCACUUCCUCCAGGCUCAAGAGCAGUGCAUCCCUAUGAGUAGGAAGUCAAGCAAAGGAGGCAGGAGACCUGCAUGGGUGAGCAAGGAGCUCCUAGCAAAACUCAACCAGAAGAAGGAAGUAUACAGAAAGUGGAAAGGGGGACAGGCCACUUGGGAGGAAUAUAGGAACGUUGUCGGAGUAUGCAGGGAUGCGACGAGGAAGGCUAAGGCCCGUUUGGAAUUAAAUCUGGCAAGAGAUGUCAAGGACAACAAGAAGGGCUUCUUCAAAUACAUCAGUAGCAAGAGGAAGACU